UUUAGUUUGUAAUUAUUUCUUAAUAAGAAAUUCUUAUCAAUUUUACUUUAAGGGAGGCAUUGUUGUCUUUUCUGUUAUGCGACAGCAAGUGAAAUGAAAUGUGGUAAACAUGAAAAUCCUGAAAUAAAAGAUCGUACCUUGGAAGAUUUAUUUUCUGAUCAUAAAAAAUUUAUAGAAAGUGGAGGCUUAAAGAAAAAUGUUAAGAAUUUUUGACAAUGUUAUUGAAAAACCAAUUUUGAAAAUACCCCUUGAUCAAGUAUCUUUACCUAGUCUCCACAUGGCUCUUGGUAUUUAUUUAAAUUUUUUUAAUUUGUUUGAAGAAGAAGUGCAUUAGCUGGAUAUUUUAAUUGCUGCAGAAACAUUAAAAAGCAACAUUAAUUUUUCAGAAGAAUAUACAGUUUUUGUAUCAAAACAAAAACAGCUGUUAAAUCUACAAGCUGAAAUUCUUAAACUUGACGAUCAAAUCCAUUUAAUCAAUGAUGUUGUUUUGUUAGCAGCUGUUAACAAUUCUGAUAGUUUUGAAAAUAUUCAAUCUCUAUACUUCACAGAAAUUGAUUUGCUUAAUAGUGAAAAAGCAAAAAAGACGACUCUAUAUAAUACUCUGCUUGGAAAGCAAUCAUUAGGGUUGGACCAGAGUCCAUGCACAAAAAUGAUCGAGACUAUACUGCAAAAGCUGAAAGUACAACGUCAAGCGUAUUACAGAAAAAAUUUUGUGGGAAACCAUGUGCAUAAAAUGCUAAAAAAAUCUUCAAUACUUCAGCUAUGUAACUGUAUACCGAAGCUUGUUCAUAAAGAAGGAUAUUCAGGAACAAACGUGCACCUGUUAGCAGUUGAUAUUAGCAAUAAAUAUAAACAACUAUUUGAUAAAUUUGCCUAGUGCUACAAAAUAUUUUCUUCAAGAAGUAUAGUUACACCAGAAGAUUUAAUUCUUUUAAAAAAAAAUAUAAAAAGUUUAAUGCAAUUUUAUCGUGCGAAUUGGCCCGAGGCUUCAGUUACACCUAAGUUGCAUAUGUUAGAACAUCAUGCUGUUCCGUUUUUGAAGAAAUGGGGAGCGGGAUUCGGCUUUUAUGGAGAACAAGGCGGAGAAUCGAUCCAUAUGGAGUUUAACAAACUCAAAACUAUUUAUCAAUCGAUUCCUUGCCCGACAAUCCGAUUAAAAAGUAUUCUCAAAUCUCAUUAUCAAAAAACUAACCCAGAGAAUAUUCGUCUUAAGCCCCCUGUGAAAAAAAGAAUAUUUAGUAAGAAAGUUCCUAAAUGAUUUCGCCAAGAAAGGAGUAUCGAUUUAUCGAUCAUCUUAUUCAUACAAUAUGUGUAACAAUUAAAAGCCUCCGAAAGAAGAACAAAGAAAAACGGCUAUUUUCAUAGCCACAAACAUAUUAAAAGCAUUAUUUAGUAUAAAAUAAAUUUUAAUCGGCGGU